rnacentral:rRNA from 1 species
CUUGUUGGUGAGGUAAUGGCUCACCAAGGCGACGACGGGUAGCCGGCCUGAGAGGGCGACCGGCCACACUGGGACUGAUACACUGCCCACACUCCUACGGGAGGCAGCAUUGGGGAAUAUUGGGCAAUGGAGGAAACUCUGACCCAGCGACGCCGCGUGCGGGAUGAAGGCCUUCGGGUUGUAAACCGCUUUCAUCAGGGAAGAAGCGAAAGUGACGGUACCUGCAGAAUAAGCACCGGGUUAACUAUGUGCCA